GGGGAUUUAACUGAGUGCCCCAAGUGCCUGCCUGGCAAGCAGGAAGUCAUGAAUUCAAUCUCCA
rnacentral:tRNA from 1 species